CCUACGGGUGGCAGCAGUGGGGAAUUUUGCGCAAUGCUCGUAAGAGUGACGCAGCGACGCCGCGUGAAUGACGAAGGCCUUCGGGUCGUAAAGUUCUUUCGACAGGGAAGAAAAUGCCUACAAGUAACGGUGAAUGUAUUUACGGUACCUGUAUAAGCAGCCCCGUCUAACUCCGUGCCAGCAGCCGCGGUAAUACGGAGGAUGCGUGCGUUGUCCGGUUGUAUUGGGUUUAAAGGGUGCGCAGGCGGAUUUUAAAGUCAGCGGUAAAUUCGUGGGGCUCAACCCCGUCCAGCCGUUGAAACUGGGGAUCUAGAGUGCGCGAGAGGUAUGCGGAAUGCGUGGUGUAGCGGUGAAAUGCAUAGAUAUCACGCAGAACCCCGAUUGCGAAGGCAGCAUACCGGUGCACAACUGACGCUCAGGCACGAAAGCGUGGGUAUCGAACAGGAUUAGAUACCCGGGUAGUC
rnacentral:rRNA from 1 species